GACGAACGUUGGCGGCGUGCUUAAUACAUGCAAGUCAACUGAAGCACCGGUAGUAAUACUGGUGUGGAGGUGGCGCACGGUGAGUAACACGUAGGUAAUCUGCCUUCAGGUCUGACAUAACCCCGAGAAAUCGGGGCUAAUAGCAGAUGAUGCAGCGGCUUGACAUCAAGACAGUUGUUAAAGCUUCGGCGCCUGAAGAUGAGCCUGCGUCUGAUUAGCUAGUUGGCGGAGUAAUAGCCCACCAAGGCGACGAUCAGUAGCUGGUCUGAGAGGAUGAUCAGCCACACUGGAACUGAGACACGGUCCAGACUCCUACGGGAGGCAGCAGUAAGGAAUAUUGCUCAAUGGGAGAAAUCCUGAAGCAGCAACGCCGCGUGAGGGAUGAAGGGCUUUUGCUCGUAAACCUCUGUAGUGAGGGAAAAAAUUUCCAAUUCUAUGGAAUAUGAUGGUACCUCAAAAGUAAGCCCCGGCUAACUACGUGCCAG
rnacentral:rRNA from 1 species